rnacentral:tRNA from 1 species
GGAAUUAUGGCUCAGUGGUAGAGCACAUGCAUGCAUGUAUGGGGCACUGGGUUCAAUUCUCAGAACUUCCU